rnacentral:rRNA from 1 species
UACGAAGGGUGCGAGCGUUAUUCGGAAUGAUUGGGCGUAAAGGGUGCGCAGGCGGCACAUUAAGUCAACUGUUAAAUAUUCUGGCCUAACUGGAAUUCGGCAGUAGAAACUGGUGUGCUUGAGGGUGGAAGAGAGAAGUGGAAUUCUCGGAGUAGCGGUAAAAUGCGUAGAUCUCGAGAGGAACACCGAUGGCGAAGGCAGCUUCUUGGUCCAUACCUGACGCUCAUGCACGAAAGCGUGGGGAGCAAACAGG